rnacentral:rRNA from 1 species
AUGCUUUCUCAUCUUGGUUUUGAUAACGGAAUAGUCGUACGACAGCCUCAUAUUGCGGUUGGUCCUGUGGAUUUUCGGGUUGUGGGAGAGAUUUUGUCUGCAGAGUCUGUCGUUCAACAGUUGAUCAGCUACAAUGAGGAGCAAUGCCAUGAAUCCUUUCUCCACGGGCUUCAUGCCUGCAUGAUUUGCUUCAGCGAGUACACAGGCGUUGAUUUUGUAAAGCUUCCAUGCCAGCAUUACUUUUGCCAGAGGUGCAUGGAGACUUACUCAAGGAUUCAUCUCAAGGAAGGAACAGUACUAAAGUUGGUGUGCCCUGAUGACAAGUGUGGAGGCAUUAUUCCUCCUAAUCUAUUGAAGAGAUUGCUAGGAGAUGCAGAUUUUGAACGGUGCGAAAGGUUGAUGCUUCAGAAGGCUCUAGAUUCAAUGGCUGAUGUAGCAUACUGUCCAAGAUGUGGAACAGCUUGCCUGUUAGACGAGGAUAAAGCCGGAUGCUCCAAUUGCCUCUUCAACUUCUGCACCCGCUGCAGAGAGCCUUGUCACACAGGGAGGAGCUGCAUUAUUCUUACUCCAGAAGAAAAACUUCUCACCUUACAGGAACAGUCAAGGGUGCGCCAAUGGAGCAAAGGCGACAUUGACAGACGAAUCAACUUGGCAAAUGAAAUAUUUAGCAUCAAGGAAGUCCUCCGUUCUUCCGUUCCAUGUCCUCAUUGUGGUAUCGCCUUCAUACGUGUGUCUGGCUGCAACCACAUGUUUUGCAGAAACUGUCACCGUGAAUUCAACUACUUAAAUGCUAGGAGGACAGAGACUGUAAGGGCACUUGAUUUCAUUACAGUGAAUACGGUGCAGAUUGAACGAAAAGUACUGAGUCUACCCGUCAGCAUCAGACAGUAUCCAUGCCCAAAAUGCCACCGACCAUAUCCCAAGAUGGGAAACAACAACCACAUCUUGUGCCUGGCAUGUCAGGUUCAUUACUGUGCUCUGUGUCGGAAGGUGGUGCGGAAGAUCUCGGAGCACUAUGGCCCCAGAGGAUGCAAGCAGCACACUGUCGACCCUGAGAUUGUUAGAACAAAGAACAAGGAUGACUCGGGAUCAGAACUUCUGUGA